rnacentral:tRNA from 1 species
UUAUAUAGAAGUAAAAUUCUUUACAUUUAAUUUCGACUUAAUAAUAAAGGUAUUUCCUUCAUAUAAA